ensembl:lncRNA
GGGGAAUUCAGGAAUCAGUGAAGAGGUGGACACUUCCCAUCUCAAAAAGCUGACUCGUCUUCUUCCCACCAGGGGACCCCCAGCCCUCAGCUGGUGGGGGCAGGUCACAGAUAAGUCGUACAGACCCCCGACCUUCCUGCCUGCUCAAAGGCUCAGAGAGACAUGAACCCCAGUCAUCAGAACGCCACUCCCAGACCCUGGAUGAGGACUAGCGAGUUUGGGGAGGGUCUUGCCCCUUGGGGAAAUUGAAUCUUGGGGAAGGGGUGGUUAGAAGGGCCUGAGUCAGCAAUCUGAAAACCUCACGUGUGCCCACCCCAGCCUGGGGGCGGGCUGGGGAGAAGGAGGGAGCUGAAACAGAAAGAGAGAUGGAGAGACGGAGAAUGAAAGCAGGAGAGAGAGAAACUGAGACAAUGGACAGUCAGAAAGAGAGCAGCGGGCAGAACCGGGGGCGGGGCAGGGCACGGGAAGCAGGGAGAACCGCGGUAAUGGGGGUGCGGGCAGAAGGGGUCACAGGAAUGGUCAUCUUUUCCCUUUCAUCACUAGCAUCACAGAUGCACAAAGGUCAGCGCUGAAAUAAUCCCACUCUCACAAAGGAGGCUUAGUGACAGUCACCAAAAGGGAAAACCAACCUAGGGUAGGACCCACCCUCCUGUCUCCCAGUCUGGGCUCAUUUCCUAAGCCCCGAGGGAACGGGAGGACCAGGCUGCUGGGAUGUUGAGGCACAGCGGGGCAGUCCCAGCAUUCUCUGUGAGUGGGGUUGGGAGGUGACAUGGGGGAAGGGGACGGGAGAUUCGUCUUGAUGUGUAUUUGCAUGGCAAGCGUACUUCUUCCUUUGAGAUGUUACAGAUCAAUAAAAAUAGCAAAACUUUCUAAAGGAUGCUCUUACCCCACUUUACAUAACAUUGAGAUGAGGGGAUGGGACCUCCCCCCUUGGCGCUUGCUACCACUGAUGCACAGGAAGGAGGAGGUAGGAAAAGGGGCCAAGAGUGUUUUAAUAUCCAGAAGGAAAGAAGAAAGCCUCUCUCUCACCUGCCCCACCUCCACCCCGAACUCAGGAUCACCUGAGUUCUGUCUUCCUGACUCUGGGAAGGAUGGAGAGGUAGGCCCUGUCAAACUCCAGAACUGUCAAACUCUAGAUGUCAUUUACCAGGGUCUGGGGCCUGAGCAUCCAUAUUUACAGCCUGCCUUCUGCCAUCUACACCACUCCUGCCUGAAGGACCACCAGUGGAACUUGGCCCCGAGAGGGGAGGGGACUCCAGGUCCGGAGAGGGGAGGGGACAGCCAUCUGGGAGGGAGGUGGGGGAAUUCCAACUAAGGACUCUGGUACGAGGCCCAAGCACCAGCUGGGCUGUCAGGCUGCUACCCAGGCCCUGCCCAUGAGCCCACCCUCAGCAGCAGCUUGGCUCACUGGAGAAGUGGAGCUGGAAGAGGCAGAUUGAAAGGAGACUCUUUGGGGGACCCAAGUGUCCUCAACCUCAGCUCCUCCCUACUUCAAGCUGGAUGAGGCAACCUAGGAAUAAGGUUACCCCCACCGGGGUGACCUCCCAGACCCCUGGGCUCACAGACAUGUUAGAGUGCAGUGCCUGCAGUCCUGCCAUCCAGAAACCCCCACCCCAGCAAAAGCCUCCAAAAGAAACCAGUUUCCGUCUGUGCCUCCGACUCCUGAAGAUCUGGGGGUCUAAUAGGAGGGGCUUCCAACCCCCUUAGUCAUCCUAGGAAGCCAAGCUGAAUAGCAGUGACUGAUAUUAACCCAACCACAAGCCAAUUUUGUGGUUUCAGUUGUUUUCAGAAGGAGCAGUAAAGCAGCGGCAGGAGGCCGUGGGCAGAGGAGUGGGCUGCCUCCAGGACCCCAGCCCUGCGGGGCACCGACGGGGCAGUGUGGGGGCACUCACCUCUGCCCUGGCACCACUCAGCCCAAGCUCAGGAAGGUCUGGAACUGCCCCCACCUGGCCGAUUCACGUGGCAGGGUUGUAACAACUAGGGGCACCUCUCCCCAUCCCCUCCAGUCCCCCUGGCAAGUUCACUGGUUAGGCUGGCUGCUUCCUGGAUCCAGGCUGAGCCCUUUCCUUUUCUUUUUUUCUGUUCAUUUUCUUUCUGUCUUUCCUUUCCUUUUCCUUUCUUUCCCUCCCUCCUUCCUUCCUUCUUUCUUCCCUUCCUCCCUCUUCUCUGUCCCGCCCCGCCCCUUUUCCUCCUAUAUAUGUAUAUGGCAGGAAUAAUUCAGGAGCCACAGCAAAGAGAACAGAGGCUGCUGGAAGGUUCUCCAAAUGUACAUGGGCUGCCGGGCUCCAAACCAAAAACCACAGGCACCCAGGCCCGGUCUCCAGCUCCUUUAGCUGUGGCACCUACUGGCCCCCAAUCCCCAAACCACAUCUGUUCACCCCUCUCAUGAGCUGGGAAAAGAUCAGCAUUAGCAAUAGGGGCUACUUCUCGCAGAGUAGAUUUUGGAAGAAUCUCAGAAAUAUAGAAUGCCAAAAUGUCAGAGCUGAGAAGGAAAUUAAAACCACUAGGUCAGUCCCUUCAUUUUUUUUUUCACACUGAGGAACAGAAGCUCUGAGAAGUGAUGCCAUGUUCCCAGAAGAUGGUUAGGAUGAGAGAGCCUCAGGCUCUAACCUUACCUCCCCUCACUGCCCCACCAGAUGCAAAUUCUCUCCUGUUCACACUUUCACUCCACCUCCUGACCAGACUCUGUCCUGAUGACUAGGAGAAGAAUAAGGUAACCAGGGACAGGCCAGGUGCAAGGAGGCAGGUACACAACAUCAGCAGCCAGGCAGAGAGAGGGAACGUGGGCAUCUCCUUGUCCUCUUCCUCCGGGGAAGCCUGCCUGAAUUAGCUAUGGGCCUGUCACUCCCCACACCCGGUGGCUGUGGCCAUGGCAGGGAGAGAAAGGAGGGAGCAAGGGUGAGAAAGACAUGAGUGAGUACCAGACAUAGCUCGCAGCCCUGAGUGACAGGGAAGGAAGAGGAGAAGCGAGAAGGGCAGGAAGUGGGGUCUGGACAGGAGUAGGGGGUGAGAGAAGGUGGGGAAGGGGAGGCACCCCCAUGGGGAAAGAAGCUGCCCUAAUGAGUCACUGCUUCCCAGGUGCAGCCCUGCUAGGGGCUGCCCAUUUGUGCUUAAGAUUUGUCAUGUGGGGGCCGGCCCCGUGGCCGAGUGGUUAAGUUUGUGCGCUCCACUUCAGCAGCCCAGGGUUUCGCUGGUUUGGAUCCUGGGUGUGGACUUGGCACCGCUCAUCAGACCAUGCUGAGGCAGCGUCCCCCAUAGCACAACCAGAGGCACUCACAACUAGAAUAUAUAAUUAUGUGCUGGGGGGUUUUGGGGAGAAGAAUAAGAAGAAAAAAAAAAAAGAUUGGCCACAGUUGUUAGCUCAGGUGCCAAUCUUUAAAAAAAAAAGAUUCAUCAUGUGAUUUCUACAAAGGACAAUUGUGUGCAUUGCCUCCCAAUGUUCAGCGCUGUCAGAGUGGCAGCUCAAGUUGGAGAGCUGGUUGUUAAACAUUUACCAGCACACCACUGGAUAAUGGGGUCAGCCUCAAAGCCAGGAGCAUAUGCCUGUGUGUGCAUGUGGGACUUCACGCAUGUGUCGGUGUGCACUAUUCCUGGGGUCUGCAUGGAGUCAUGUGUGAAUGCACAGCAGUCCUUGCCUAUGACCCUGUGACACCUGGGACAUACCCGUGUGGCACUGUAUUCCUGGUUGUGUGAGACUGUGUGUGUGUAUGCAUUGCGUUUUGGGAGGAGUGUGUGUCUGCAGGUGGGUGUCAGUGGGAGUCUGGUAAGUGAGGAAGGGUGUGUGUGUGUGAGUCACUGGGACCAUCUGUGUGCUUUACACAUCUAAGUGUGGGGCUAAGUGUAACAGGGUGAGUCUGGAGGACAGUGAGGGGCAGACCCACAUGUGCCCACUGUGGGGGACUAGGGCAGUGCCUGAGACUGGAGACACACAAAUCUCUGAGCUCCGAGGACUCGGGGGGUGGGUGGCUAAGGGCUCCUGUGCCAAGUCCUGCUCAAUCCCUCCUCUGUCCUCAGGCUUAACCACCUGCCAGUCUGGGAGGGAAUAGGAUGCCGAGGCAAGCAAGGGGCUCUCUGAUCCCUCAGGUCCCAGGACACCUCUGGCAGAGAGGAAGCCUCCCUCUCCUCGGCCCAUCACGUUCGCCAUCUCCCACCUCCAAGCUGGGGCUGCCGCAUCAUUCCUUACCUUCUUUGGGACAGAAGUAAAUUCAAUGCACAAAGAUCAAGCACCAAAAGUGUUUGUGGGGGUCUGCGUGGUAGACACUGGGACAGGGGAGAAAUAUGUCAAAUAGCACAUAUUUCUUUCUCCGAGGAUCUCACAAGGGAUUGGUCUGACCCUCGGGAACAACCUGCAGGCUGCCCAUGGGAGGCAGCGCAGACUGGAGCCAUCUCAACAGUACCCUCACGGCCUCUGCAGACGGCGUUAGCUCUCAAAAGGCACUUGGGCAGCCUGGGGCACAGACAUCAGUGCCAAGAAUUUCUCUGGAGUCAACAUAGAGAAAUUAGGGGAGGGGCAAGGAUGGCACAGGGUGCAAGAGAAUCACACACGUUUUCCCCACACUGUCUGGCCUCUGCCCCUGGACACCUGGUCCCACCC